rnacentral:rRNA from 1 species
CAGUAGCCGCGGUAAGACGGAGGGUGCUAGCGUUGUUCGGAAUCACUGGGCGUAAAGGGCGCGUAGGCGGCCUGUUAAGUCGGAUGUGAAAUCCCUGAGCUUAACUUAGGAAUUGCAUUCGAUACUGGGAAGCUAGAGUAUGGGAGAGGAUGGUAGAAUUCCAGGUGUAGCGGUGAAAUGCGUAGAGAUCUGGAGGAAUACCGAUGGCGAAGGCAGCCAUCUGGCCUAAUACUGACGCUGAGGUACGAAAGCAUGGGGAGCAAACAGGAUUAGAUACCCCCGUAGUCCCUGUCUCUUAUAC